UACGUAGGGGGCGAGCGUUGUCCGGAAUUAUUGGGCGUAAAGCGCGCGCGGGUGGUAACUUAAGUCUGGUGUAUAAGCUCAGGGCUUAACCCUGGGAGGCACUGGAAACUGGGAUACUGGAGUGCAGGAGAGGAAAGCGGAAUUCCAUGUGUAGCGGUGAAAUGCGUAGAGAUAUGGAGGAACACCAGUGGCGAAGGCGGCUUUCUGGCCUGUAGCUGACGCUGAGGCGCGAAAGCGUGGGGAGCAAACAGG
rnacentral:rRNA from 1 species